rnacentral:sRNA from 1 species
AUGAGGGUUGCCAGGCAGGUGCUGAGUUGGAGGAAUUGUCAAAGAAAGCAGGGCCGGAGGAGGAAGAGGAGGAGGAGGAGGAGGAGGACGAAGAAGGGGAGAAGAAGAGCAGCUUUAAGUGCAGCAUUUGCGAGAAGGCGUUUCUGUAUGAGAAGAGCUUCCUGAAGCACAGCAAGCACCGCCACGGCGUGGCCACCGAGGUGGUGUACCGCUGCGACACCUGCGGCCAGACCUUCGCCAACCGCUGCAACCUGAAGAGCCACCAGCGCCACGUGCACAGCAGCGAGCGCCAUUUCCCAUGCGAGCUGUGCGGGAAGAAGUUCAAGCGCAAGAAGGACGUGAAGCGGCACGUGCUGCAGGUGCAUGAGGGCGGCGGCGAGCGGCACCGCUGCGGCCAGUGCGGCAAGGGCCUGAGUUCCAAGACAGCGCUGCGGCUGCACGAGCGCACACACACGGGAGACCGGCCCUACGGCUGCACCGAGUGCGGCGCCAGGUUCUCGCAGCCGUCCGCGCUCAAGACGCACAUGAGGUGAAAGACCUUUUAUGUGUGAAACAUGUGGCAAGAGUUUUGCUUCUAAGGAGUACUUAAAACACCACAAUAGAAUCCAUACUGGAUCCAAACCCUUUAAAUGUGAAGUAUGUUUCAGGACUUUUGCCCAGCGGAAUUCACUCUAC